rnacentral:rRNA from 1 species
AAUUUGUGGUGUAGCGGUGAAAUGCAUAGAUAUCACGAGGAACUCCGAUUGCGCAGGCAGCUUACUAAACCAUAACUGACGCUCAAGCACGAAGGCGUGGGGAUCAAACAGGAUUAGAUACCCUGGUAGUCCACGCAGUAAACGAUGAUUACUGGCUGUUUGCGAUACACAGUAAGCGGCUGAGCGAAAGCAUUAAGUAAUCCACCUGGGGAGUACGUUCGCAAGAAUGAAACUCAAAGGAAUUGACGGGGGCCCGCACAAGCGGAGGAACAUGUGGUUUAAUUCGAUGAUACGCGAGGAACCUUACCCGGGCUUGAAAUGCAUCUGACUCAGGCAGAGACGCCUGUUCCCUUCGGGGCAGAUGUGUAGGUGCUGCAUGGUUGUCGUCAGCUCGUGCCGUGAGGUGUCGGCUUAAGUGCCAUAACGAGCGCAACCCUCAUCGUUAGUUGCCAUCAGGUCAUGCUGGGGACUCUAACGAGACUGCCAUCGUAAGAUGCGAGGAAGGUGGGGAUGACGUCAAAUCAGCACGGCCCUUACGUCCGGGGCGACACACGUGUUACAAUGGGUGGUACAAAGGGCAGCUACAUGGCGACAUGAUGCUAAUCUCCAAAACCACUCUCAGUUCGGAUCGGAGUCUGCGACUCGACUUCGUGAAGCUGGAUUCGCUAGUAAUCGCGCAUCAGCCACGGCGCGGUGAAUACGUUCCCGGGCCUUGUACACACCGCCCGUCAAGCCAUGGAAGCUGGGGGUACCUGAAGUCCGUAACCGUCAAGGAGCGGCCUAGGGUAAAACUGGUGACUGGGGCUAAGUCGUAANCAAGGUAACCCGAAAGGGGCGAAUUCGUAACCC